UUUCAUAUUUCUACCUACCUCUUGUGUAAUUGUGGAUUCUUUAUCAAAACAUCUCCGUGUUACUUGUGUGGAUUUUUCUAAGCUCUUGUUAUUUAUGUUUUUCCCUGUUUCUCCCUGGACUUCAAUGUUGGAACAAGUUUCAUUUGCAGUGUUGGACUUUGUGCUUGAAAGAAGUGUAUUAUGUUGUAAAAGUAAAAAAGACCGCAGUCGAAGCUGAAGAAGAAGCCAGCUGAGGACAAUGACAGACAGGGUGAUUUGAAGAAAGCUCAGACAGAUGUGAAGGAGAGAGGGGCACCAGGGAGCACUGACCCAAUAACAACCAGCUGAUGUUUCCUGCCAUCACCUGCACCGAGAUUAAGGACUGACAGUGCUGUGCACAGGGCAUCCACAUUUGAAUGUUGUAAUACUAUUUGAUUGAACUUUCUUUCUUUGUUCACUCAGUUGGUGAACGCUUAAAAUAUAUGAUACUGAAUAACUAGUUAGACAUUAUGA